rfam:Trichinella spiralis unplaced genomic scaffold Scfld2329, whole genome shotgun sequence.
CCCGAUCUGCGAAGUUAAGCAACGUUGGGCUGACGUCAGUACCAGAAUCGGAGACGGUCUGGGAACACGCAGUGUCGUAGACA